rnacentral:rRNA from 1 species
UACGGAGGAUGCGAGCGUUAUCCGGAUUUAUUGGGUUUAAAGGGUGCGUAGGCGGCCGAGUAAGUCAGCGGUGAAAUUUUGCAGCUUAACUGUAACAGUGCCGUUGAUACUGCAUGGCUAGGAUUUGGUUGCUGUGGGUGGAAUGUGUGGUGUAGCGGUGAAAUGCUUAGAUAUCACACAGAAUAUCAAUUGCGAAGGCAGCUCACAAAGCCAAGAUUGACGCUGAGGCACGAAAGUGUGGGGA